GACGAACGCUGGCGGCGUGCUUAACACAUGCAAGUCGAGCGGUAAGGCCCUUUCGGGGUACACGAGCGGCGAACGGGUGAGUAACACGUGGGUGACCUGCCCUCAGCUCGUGGGAUAAGCCGUAGGGAAACCGGGUCUAAUACCGGAUAUGACUCCAUGACGCAUGUUGUGGGGUGGAAAGCCUUGUGCGGCUGAGGAUGGGCCCGCGGCCUAUCAGCUUGUUGGUGGGGUGAGGGCCUACCAAGGCGACGACGGGUAGCCGGCCUGAGAGGGCGACCGGCCACACUGGGACUGAGACACGGCCAGACUCCUACGGGAGGCAGCAGUGGGGAAUCUUGCGCAAUGGGCGAAAGCCUGACGCAGCGACGCCGCGUGAGGGAUGACGGCCU
rnacentral:rRNA from 1 species